GCCGCUUUAGCUUAGCUGGUGGAGCGUGGGACUGUUAAUCCCAAGGUCGCCGGUUCGAACCCGGCAAGCGGCG
rnacentral:tRNA from 3 species